UUCAGUCGUUUCUAGUAUGCAUUUCCAUAGCAGUGACCUGUACAAAACACCUAGUGGUUUUAACAAACCAGAGUUAAAGAAGACGCGGCACCUUUUGUUUUUUCAUGGGUCUCUGUCACAACCCAAGCCAGGAAGUCUGUUUUUGAGUGGACAACUCAGAGAGACUGGGGUUUGAUGUUCAUGAAGUCCAACAACCUUGUGGAAACGAAGUUGGUGUUGCUAGCUUAGCUACGGACCACGACUACGACGCACGACCAUCCCCUGGUAGGUGCAUUGGAUGCAGCUCACACGAAGAUAGUGGAACUGGAGGUGCUGGUGUUGUCACAACUUCAAUGAAGGACUCGUCUCACCAAAUCCUCUCCUCUACACGGAAAUGUCUGACUUGGUGUCAGUGACUGUCACACCAGGGAAGGCCAGUGACCGCAAGCUGACCUUGCACUUGGGUGAAAUUCCGGUGACUCAUUUUUAGUUGAGGUUUCUCCCCCAACGAACUUGAUGUGAGGUGCCUCGUGAUGCUGGUGAUGUCUGGCCAUUUCACCUCCAUUAGUACAAAGUGGGGAACCUGCAAAGGAUCAACCACCUGACAAUCUAGGCUUGCACCCAGAUGUAUCAUAACGAUGCUGCAGUGGGAGACCUUGACCUACCAGAGAUCCACGUAGUGGUGGAGCACUUCUGGCUCCAGCCCCUGCCGCAUAUCUGCGGUUUGCCACGUUCCCUUGAGGACCCUCCCUGCCAACCACUGCUGGGUCUCAUCUCUCCUGGCAGCAAGGACCUCAUGGCUUGCUGUGAGCCUGCUCUCCACAGGUGGCACCGGGUGUACAUAUAUAUAUAAAAUUGGUUUAUAGUUUGUUCAUUGUGUUCAUUUUGGGUGUUCAUGUAUUGUUCCAUGUUGUGUAUUUCUAUGAUGUCCACAAGUUUUUCAAUAAAAUAUGUUUCUUGUUUACUUUGACACUAACCUUUUAUAGGGCAUAUAUAAUGUGGAUUUCACUCUGCAGCGUCCCGAUGUUUUUGUUUUUUUAAUGACCAACUGGUUAGGUUACGUUUACCUGAGUGCGUGGCAUGUGCAACAAUGUGAUUACAGAGUCCUCUACCAACACA